rnacentral:tRNA from 1 species
CCUUUGAUAGCUCAGCUGGUAGAGCAGAGGACUGUAGAUCCUUAGGUCACUGGUUCAAUUCCGGCUAGAAGGA